UUGAGAAUGGGUAUCAAAAGGUAGCUAGCUAAUGAUGCCCCCUGGAUUAGCCAUUCAUCCAUAGAACGUCAGCUUGUAAAUAACUAUUUAUUUUGUAUUUUUGUGUAGAGAACAACUGGAACAUUUUGUCAUGGUGUGGUGCUCAGUACUUGGAUGUGCAAACUACAAGCAAGCACAGGCUGUUGGGGUAACGUUUCAUUGGUUACCUUACUAAGAAGUCAAGCAGAGAGUCCAAUUCCAUCAACAUCUAUAGCAGCAUAAACAUCGAGCUAAGCACCAGGACCCUUUGCUAAAUCUUUCCAUGACUCCAUGAUGAGCAAAUAAAUAUACUGGAGGUUAUGAGAAUCUACCAUCUGAAGCUGAAGCAAUAUUCCUUGACCCAAGGACUGUACUUGAAAUGAUACAAGAUCAGUCCUUAUCAACCAGUGGAACGGAAGAAGAAUUCCUCACUACCAGCAGACUGUCCGAACAUAAUUUCUAAUAGUUAUCUAUGUGGGUUUGAUACCAGUGUGGAAGAGCUGGUCACUUUUAAAAUACUUGCUAAUUGGACGAUUUAAUAUUAUUGUCUUCCUGCUUAUACAUGAUGUGGUAGGAAUCGUAAGCGACAUCAUCAUUACACAUGUCAAUACUUAUUUUAUAUAACUUUGUUUGAAAUCUAUUUCUUAUUGUAAAGCAAGUAGAAUAUGCCCUUUGUGUUUUACAGAAAUGCAAGGUGUUUAAUGUGAAUGAUUUUAUGCUUACUGCUAAUGUUUUUUUAUACUUUCUAUUUUUUCAUGUUUUCUAUUGUUUUCUAAAAAUACAUUUAAAGUAUAUUUAUUUUAAAAAUGGUCUAGGGGGGAGUGUAAGAAUAUUUAGAAGAUAAAUACACAAUGCAGAGGACUAAAAGCCAAUAGAGUACUAACGGUCAAGAGGACUAAAAGCCAAUCGAGUACUAACGGUCAAGAGGACUAAAAGCCAAUAGAGUACUAACGGUCAAGAGGACUAAAAGCCAAUAGAGUACUUACGGUCAAGAGGACUAAAAGCCAAUCGAGUACUAACGGUCAAGAGGACUAAAAGCCAAUCGCGUACUAACGGUCAAGAGGACUAAAAGCCAAUAGAGUACUUACGGUCAAGAGGACUAAAAGCCAAUAGAGUACUAACGGUCAAGAGGACUAAAAGCCAAUCGAGUACUAACGGUCAAGAGGACUAAAAGCCAAUAGAGUACUAACGGUCAAGAGGACUAAAAGCCAAUAGAGUACUUAUGGUCAAGAGGACUAAAAGCCAAUCGAGUACUAACGGUCAAGAGGACUAAAAGCCAAUCGAGUACUAACGGUCAAGAGGACUAAAAGCCAAUAGAGUACUAACGGUCAAGAGGACUAAAAGCCAAUCGAGUACUAACGGUCAAGAGGACUAAAAGCCAAUAGAGUACUAACGGUCAAGAGGACUAAAAUCCAAUAGAGUACUUACGGUCAAGAGGACUAAAAGCCAAUAGAGUACUAACGAUCAAUGGAAAUUGUUUUUUUUUUCUGUAGUAGGGGAUUAAUGAUCAAUGGGUGUCACGAGAAUUUUCAAUCCCAAUGAUAAUAACAAUCAAUCAAUAGCUUUGACAAAAUCCCCGAGGUUUAUAAGACCAUGGGUUUAAUAAUAAUUAGUCAAAGACUCAGCUUAAGCAAAAGGUUAGUACAGUUUAUACACGAGAACGUUCUAAACUCAAUAAUAGAAAAACAUCAAUUUUAUUGCUGCGCACAUACUUCCACACACAAACAGUAGGUAUCCUACGCACAUACUGUAUCACUACCCAGCCGACAAAGAUUAGGGAGACCUUGAGACGUACUCCCUGUCCUCCCAAAUCUCUAGUCAGGUCGGUACCGAAUUUUGCUCAGACAGUCUGUGUUUAAGAUACGAUAAAGACAUAUUGUACAGAUACAUUGUUUUACCCUAAUUCUGACUAAAACUACACUCACAGAUAUAUAAUUUUACUGACUAAAACUACACACAUCAUUAGUGUCACGUUCUGACCUUUAUUUCCUUUGUUUUGUAUUCAUUAUUUAGUAUGGUCAGGGCGUGAGUUGGGGUGGGCAGUCUAUGUUUGAUUUUCUAUGAUUUGGGGAUUUCUAUGUUUCGGCCUAGUAUGGUUCUCAAUCAGAGGCAGGUGUCAUUAGUUGUCUCUGAUUGAGAAUCAUACUUAGGUAGCCUGGGUUGCACUGUUUGUUUGUGGGUGAUUGUCUAUGUUGAUUGCUUGUUUCAGCACAGUUCGCAUUAGCGUCACGGUUGUUAUUUCGUUUAUUGUUUUUGUAUAGUGUUUCAGUGUUUUCUUUAUUAAAAUUCAUGAUGAACACAUA